GAGUGACUUCGGUUGCUUGAGAGCGGCGCACGGGUGAGUAACGCGUACAUGACCUACCUUUAAGACUGGGAUAGCCCUGGGAAACUGGGAUUAAUACCGGAUGUGAUAAUACGUAUAGAGAUGUAUUAUUAAAGUUGAGGCGCUUAGAGAUGGAUGUGCGUCUGAUUAGCUAGUUGGUAGGGUAACGGCCUACCAAGGCGACGAUCAGUAGGGGGCGUGAGAGCGUGGCCCCCCACACGGGUACUGAGACACGGACCCGACUCCUACGGGAGGCAGCAGUAAGGAAUAUUGGUCAAUGGACGGAAGUCUGAACCAGCCAUCCCGCGUGCAGGAUGACUGCCCUAUGGGUUGUAAACUGCUUUUAGCAGAGACGAAACGCCUUCAUUUAUGAGGGUCUGACGGUAUCUGCAGAAUAAGCACCGGCUAACUCCGUGCCAGCAGCCGCGGUAAUACGGAGGGUGCAAGCGUUAUCCGGAAUCACUGGGUUUAAAGGGUGCGUAGGCGGAUAUUUAAGUCAGUGGUGAAAUCUUGUCGCUUAACGAUAAAAUUGCCAUUGAUACUGAAUGUCUUGAAUUGGGUUGAGGUUAGCGGAAUGUGACAUGUAGCGGUGAAAUGCAUAGAUAUGUCAUGGAACACCAAUUGCGAAGGCAGCUAGCUGGGCCUUGAUUGACGCUGAGGCACGAAAGCGUGGGUAGCGAACAGGAUUAGAUACCCUGGUAGUCCACGCCCUAAACGAUGCUAACUCGAUGUUUGGACGUAAGUUUGAGCAUCCAAGGGAAACCGAUAAGUUAGCCACCUGGGGAGUACGACCGCAAGGUUGAAACUCAAAGGAAUUGACGGG
rnacentral:rRNA from 1 species